GGGAUUGCCUCAGUAACGGCGAGUGAAGCGGCAACAGCUCAAAUUUGAAAUCUGGCCCCGUCGGGGUCCGAGUUGUAAUUUGUAGAGAGUGUUUCGGGUGAGACCACGGUCUAAGUCUAUUGGAACAUGGCGUCAUAGAGGGUGAGAAUCCCGUAUGUGACCGUGGCUCGAGCCCAUGUGAAGCCUCUUCGACGAGUCGAGUUGUUUGGGAAUGCAGCUCAAAAUGGGUGGUAAAUUUCAUCUAAAGCUAAAUACCGGCUGGAGACCGAUAGCGCACAAGUAGAGUGAUCGAAAGAUGAAAAGCACUUUGGAAAGAGAGUCAAAAAGUACGUGAAAUUGUUGAAAGGGAAGCGCUUGCAACCAGACCUGUCCGUAGGUGAUCAGCCGCUGUUCUCAGUGGUGCACUCGCUCUGCGAUCAGGCCAGCAUCGGUUCCGGCGGUCGGAUAAAGGCCCUGGGAAUGUAGCUCCCUUCGGGGAGUCUUAUAGCCCUCGGUGCAAUGCGGCCAGCCGGGACCGAGGACCGCGCUUCGGCUAGGAUGCUGGCGUAAUGGUUGUAAGCGACCCGUCUUGAAACACGGACCAAGGAGUCUAACAUCUAUGCGAGUGUUUGGGUGUCAAACCCAUGCGCGGAAUGAAAGUGAACGGAGGUGAGAACCCUUUAGGGCGCAUCAUCGACCGAUCCAGAUGUCUUCGGAUGGAUUUGAGUAUGAGCAUAGCUGUUGGGACCCGAAAGAUGGUGAACUAUGCCUGAAUAGGGUGAAGCCAGAGGAAACUCUGGUGGAGGCUCGCAGCGGUUCUGACGUGCAAAUCGAUCGUCAAAUUUGGGUAUAGGGGCGAAAGACUAAUCGAACCAUCUAGUAGCUGGUUCCUGCCGAAGUU
rnacentral:rRNA from 1 species